UAAAGCAGGGGCCUCCAACCUUGGCCCCUUUAAGACGGGUGGACUUCAACUCCCAGAAUUCUGGGANUCCCAGAAUUCUGGGAGUUGAAGUCCACCCGUCUUAAAGGGGCCAAGGUUGGAGGCCCCUGUUCUA
rnacentral:pre_miRNA from 1 species